rnacentral:rRNA from 1 species
AUAAUGGGUCAGCGACUUAUAUUCUGUAGCAAGGUUAACCGAAUAGGGGAGCCGAAGGGAAACCGAGUCUUAACUGGGCGUUAAGUUGCAGGGUAUAGACCCGAAACCCGGUGAUCUAGCCAUGGGCAGGUUGAAGGUUGGGUAACACUAACUGGAGGACCGAACCGACUAAUGUUGAAAAAUUAGCGGAUGACUUGUGGCUGGGGGUGAAAGGCCAAUCAAACCGGGAGAUAGCUGGUUCUCCCCGAAAGCUAUUUAGGUAGCGCCUCGUGAAUUCAUCUCCGGGGGUAGAGCACUGUUUCGGCAAGGGGGUCAUCCCGACUUACCAACCCGAUGCAAACUGCGAAUACCGGAGAAUGUUAUCACGGGAGACACACGGCGGGUGCUAACGUCCGUCGUGAAGAGGGAAACAACCCAGACCGCCAGCUAAGGUCCCAAAGUCAUGGUUAAGUGGGAAACGAUGUGGGAAGGCCCAGACAGCCAGGAUGUUGGCUUAGAAGCAGCCAUCAUUUAAAGAAAGCGUAAUAGCUCACUGGUCGAGUCGGCCUGCGCGGAAGAUGUAACGGGGCUAAACCAUGCACCGAAGCUGCGGCAGCGACGCUUAUGCGUUGUUGGGUAGGGGAGCGUUCUGUAAGCCUGCGAAGGUGUGCUGUGAGGCAUGCUGGAGGUAUCAGAAGUGCGAAUGCUGACAUAAGUAACGAUAAAGCGGGUGAAAAGCCCGCUCGCCGGAAGACCAAGGGUUCCUGUCCAACGUUAAUCGGGGCAGGGUGAGUCGACCCCUAAGGCGAGGCCGAAAGGCGUAGUCGAUGGGAAACAGGUUAAUAUUCCUGUACUUGGUGUUACUGCGAAGGGGGGACGGAGAAGGCUAUGUUGGCCGG